rnacentral:tRNA from 1 species
GGGUUGCUAGCUCAAUCGGUAGAGCACCUGACUCUUAAUCAGUAGGUUUCGGGUUCGAGUCCCGGGCAACCCA